GGUGAGAUGGCCGAGUUGGUCCAAGGCGCCAGAUUAAGGAUCCCUAUAUUUCUGGUCCGUUCGCGGGCGUGGGUUCGAAUCCCACUCUCAUCA